rnacentral:rRNA from 1 species
UACGAAGGGGGCUAGCGUUGCUCGGAAUCACUGGGCGUAAAGGGUGCGUAGGCGGGUCUUUAAGUCAGGGGUGAAAUCCGGGAGCUCAACUCCAGAACUGCCUUUGAUACUGAGGAUCUUGAGUUCGGGAGAGGUGAGUGGAACUGCGAGUGUAGAGGUGAAAUUCGUAGAUAUUGGGAAGAACACCGGUGGCGAAGGCGACAGUCUGGCUCUAUACUGACACUGAGGCGCGAAGGCGUGGGGAGCAAACAGG